CCCUUAGAUGUCCUGGGCCGCACGCGCGCUACACUGAUGCAUUCAACGAGUUUUACCUUGGCCGAGAGGCCUGGGCAAUCUUGUUAACGUGCAUCGUGAUAGGGAUAGAUUAUUGAAAUUAUUAAUCUUGAACGAGGAAUUCCUAGUAAACGCAGAUCAUCAAUCUGCAUUGAUUACGUCCCUGCCCUUUGUACACACCGCCCGUCGCACCUACCGAUUGGAUGGUCCGGUGAAGCCUCGGGAUUGUGGUUCUUGCCGCUUUAUUGUGGCGUGACCGCGAGAACUUGUCUAAACCUUAUCAUCUAGAGGAAGGUGAAGUCGUAACA
rnacentral:rRNA from 1 species